GAUGAACGCUGGCUACAGGCUUAACACAUGCAAGUCGAGGGGAAACGACGGGGAAGCUUGCUUCCCCGGGCGUCGACCGGCGCACGGGUGAGUAACGCGUAUCCAACCUGCCUCUGACUGAGGGAUAACCCGUCGAAAGUCGGCCUAAUACCUCAUGGCAUCGUCUGCGGGCAUCCAACGACGAUUAAAGAUUUCAUCGGUCAGGGAUGGGGAUGCGUCUGAUUAGCUAGUUGGCGGGGUAACGGCCCACCAAGGCGACGAUCAGUAGGGGUUCUGAGAGGAAGGUCCCCCACAUUGGAGCUGAGACACGGUCCAAAAUCCUACGGGAGGCAGCAGUGAGGAAUAUUGGUCAAUGGGCGAGAGCCUGAACCAGCCAAGUAGCGUGCAGGAUGACGGCCCUAUGGGUUGUAAACUGCUUUUAUGCGGGGAUAAAGUGAGGGACGUGUCCUUCAUUGCAGGUACCGAAUGAAUAAGGACCGGCUAAUUCCGUG
rnacentral:rRNA from 1 species